rnacentral:rRNA from 1 species
GUCGAGAAUAAUUCACAAUGGACGAAAGUCUGAUGGUGCAACGCCGCGUGGAGGAUGACGGUCUUCGGAUUGUAAACUCCUGUCAUCCGGGAGUAAGACCUGGCUGUGAAUAGCAGACAGGGUUGAUAGUACCGGAAGAGGAAGGGACGGCUAACUUCGUGCCAGCAGCCGCGGUAAUACGAAGGUCCCGAGCGUUGUUCGGAAUCACUGGGCGUAAAGGGAGCGUAGGCGGCGUGGUAAGUCAGAUGUGAAAUCCCGGGGCUCAACCCCGGAACUGCAUCCGAUACUGCCGUGCUAGAGGAUUGGAGAGGUAGCUGGAAUUCUUGGUGUAGCAGUGAAAUGCGUGGAGAUCAAGAGGAACACUCGUGGCGAAAGCGAGCUACUGGACAAUAUCUGACGCUGAGGCUCGAAGACCAGGGUAGCGAAAGGGAUUAGAAACCCGGGUAGUCC